rnacentral:misc_RNA from 1 species
GAUGAAGAACGCAGCGAAAUGCGAUACGUAAUGUGAAUUGCAGAAUUCAGUGAAUCAUCGAGUCUUUGAACGCACAUUGCGCCCCCUGGUAUUCCGGGGGGCAUGCCUGUCCGAGCGUCAUUGCUGCCCUCAAGCACGUCUUGUGUGUUGGGCCUCCGUCCUCCUCCCGGGGGACGGGCCCGAAAGGCAGCGGCGGCACCGCGUCCGGUCCUCGAGCGUAUGGGGCUUCGUCACCCGCUCUUGUAGGCCCGGCCGGCGCUUGCCGACACAUCAAUCUUUUUUCCAGGUUGACCUCGGAUCAGGUAGGGAUACCCGCUGAACUUAAGCAUAUCAAUAAGCGGAGGA